rnacentral:rRNA from 1 species
CCUACGGGAGGCAGCAGUGAGGAAUAUUGGUCAAUGGGCGCGAGCCUGAACCAGCCAAGUCGCGUGAAGGAUGACUGCCCUACGGGUUGUAAACUUCUUUUAUCAAGGAAUAAAGUGCGGCACGUGUGCCUUUUUGUAUGUACUUUAUGAAUAAGGAUCGGCUAACGCCGUGCCAGCAGCCGCGGUAAUACGGAGGAUCCGAGCGUUAUCCGGAUUUUUUGGGUUUAAAGGGAGCGUAGAUGGGUUUGUAAGUCCGUUGGGAAAGUUUGCGGCUCAACCGUAAAAUUGCAAUUGAUACUGGCAGCCUUGAGUACGGGUGAGGUAGGCGGAAUUCGUGGUGUAGCGGUGAAAUGCGUAGAUAUCACGAAGAACUUCGAUUGCGAAGGCAGCUUACUAGACUGCAACUGACAUUGAUGCACGAAAGCGUGGGUAUCAAACAGGAUUAGAUACCCGGGUAGUC